UGUCUCUGACCUGGUUAAAGUGGCAUCUGGUUGGUGGCACUUAUCUCAAAUCACAAAGACAUAAGGCAACCUCUUGUUUAUACCAGCUUAGCUUUUUGUUUUUUGUUUUUUAGACGGGUCU
ensembl:snoRNA